rnacentral:tRNA from 1 species
GAGCCAGUGGUCUAGUGGCUAUGACAGCGCCCUUACAAGGCGUUAAUCGGAGGUUCGAGUCCUCCCUGGCUCA